UCUCCAUGGCUUGUGCGUCAUGGACCAGGGUGGGUCGACGGGCGGCCAACCAAUCGAGCGCAGCGGGUCGCCCAUGGGCCGCAGCCGCCCAAAAGGGCGCUGUCAGAUCAAUGUCGUUGCCCUGCGCGUCUUGCAAAUGGCCAGCGGCCUCUAGAUGGUCGAGCAAGCCAAUGUGGCCGCCGAACGACGCGCCGUGAACGGCAUCGCCCCACAUGGGCGGCUGUGGGCCGCGUCGCGCCGCCCAUUCGACCACGUCGAUCUUGCCCGAGCGGCCGGCCGACCACAGGGCGCCAACGGGUUGGCUGGGCCACGGCGCGCCCGCGCGGUCGACGAGCCAGUCCAGACGCGCUACUGACGCGCCAGAGGCGAGUGCAGCGCGCAACACCAUGUCGCUGAGGGGCGGCACGCCCGGGCGUGCCACGAGCCAUUUGAUCGGACCUUGGCUUUUCGACGCUGCGCCCGCCACGUAGACCUCCAUGUCGACAGGCCAACCGCGUUCAACGAGCCACACGAGGGUGGACGUACGCCCCGUCAUGGCAGCCUCUGCGCACGCGGUCGCCGACCGAGGCCUGCCGAUGGUAUCAAACCACUCGAACAAACCAAGGGCGUCGGUAUGCGCGGCGUAGGCUUCGAGUCGUUGCCAAGGUCCUGGCACGGACGCUUUGUCCUGGCUAUCGGGUCGGCCUUGGCUGCCCUCGUUUUCCGCCCUCUCUUUGGCGUCGAUGCUCUUGCCGAUGCCCUCAUUGACGGCGGCGACGUCCGAUGACGGCGAUGUUGCGCAUGUGGCAAUGUCGCGCCAUAGGGCACACACGCGGCUGACAACAAGCCGCAUCGGAUCGGGCACGCUGCCGAGCAAGAUCGCAUGCAAGAGUUCGGCCGGGAGCGCGCUGUUGAUGCUCGCCAUACUAGGAAAAAGACGCCGCGUAUCAAACAGCGAUCAACCAAGAAAAAGAAAAAAAAGACAACAAACCAAGAGGGUUCCACCUCUUUUUUUUUGAACGGUCGUGAGAAAUGGAUCGGUUCGUUGUUGUCGAUCUGUUUGUGUUU
rnacentral:lncRNA from 1 species